GCUAGUGUAGCUUAAUGCAAAGCAUAGCACUGAAGAUGCUAAGAUGAGUCCUGAAAAACUCCACAUGCA
rnacentral:tRNA from 1 species